CCGAAACACGCGCACCUGCGUGAUGACGUCAGGAAGCCAAACGACGCAAAAAAAAAAUGACCGCGAAACUUCGACGAGCGAUUCCUCACAAACUAGAUAGUUUCUAGUCAAAGUGCGACCGAAAAGUGUGCGUGUUUCGCCAAAGUGAAUCCCAACAACGUGAGACGUAAAUGCCUCGAUGGAGCUGGACCGGUGGAUCCGGAGCCUUCAGGUUUCCUCCUGCAGAAUACAGCGACUGGGACCAUUCUGCGCCCCUCCUGCUGGAAGGAAACAAACAAUUAUAGCCCGAUGGAAAGCCCUUUAAAUGGAUUGUGCGUGGCCCUGCUGCAGCUCCCGGGGCCUCCUCCUCCUCCUCCUCCUCCGUAGUCCAAACCCGGCUUUGAUCAUCAGGACCUCGGCGGAUGAUGGAUGGAGCUGUCUCCCUCCAGGUUGUCGUAGCAUCUGUUGCUUGGUGCUCUCCGUAUUUUGCUCUGCAGAUGCUUGCGUGCACACGAAUACGUCUCCACCGCUGUUUGCGUGUGGGCCGUUUGGUGGGUAAUGAUGGGAAAAAAGACACGCAAACCGACUUUAUCGGCACGAGUACUGCAGUUGUUUUUUUCCCCACAUUGGAUUGGUAACAAUGUGAACCAGGUGGGUUUUUGGUGAUAAUAUUUCGGUAGCUCUGAUUAAGAGGGGAUCCACACCUCCUGUGCAAGUGGAUGACAGAACUCGUGGUUAUAAUACUUUAACUUUGUUAUCGUCAUUUGCAUAUUUAUACAUUUAGUUGACCAGUAGUGGCCUUGGACGGGCGGGACAUAAAAGAACUGGAGGGGACAGAAAAAUGAAGAAAGCUACUGAAGUCUUUGGACAUUUCCAUUUUUAUUUGUUAUUUAUAAACUGCCUCUGAGAAAGUGAGGUUCUCCAAAGGAAACCCACUACAAACACUAAAAGGUGUCCCUGAUCAUUAAAUCCCAGCUGUUCAGCGACGCUACAUAGAUUAUAGAUCCAUUAUUGAUGGAUGGGUGGAUUAUUGGUAGAUUGUUUAUGCUGCUUCCUAAUAAAAUAAACAUGUUUAUGCUGGUUCAGAUUUAUCAAUGUUGUCUUGCCUGUUGUAACGUUAUGAUUGUGACUCUUUAAUCCACCAGGUGAAAAUACCAAAUUCUCCUGUAGUGUUUUUUUGUUUAAACAGAGAACUAGUUUUAAUCAAAUGAAAUAACAUAAAUGAGUAAGUGAAGGAGUCUGAAGGGUUUUGGCUCUUCCGUCUAUAACUGCAGGUGUGUAAAGGGAAUACUGCUGUUGAAAACAACUUAGUUUAAGGCUGCACUUCAUAUGUGGUACUUUUAAAAUACGUGCACAAUAUAAUGCUCUUGAAUGUAUUGUUGAAUUUUGCACAUAAUGUGAUUAAUUGCAUAAAAUUAUGCAAUUAAGCGUAAUUAAACAUUAAGCACUAAUUUAAUUGAAUAUCUAUUUUAUACUGCGGUUGAAAACUCACCAUAACUAAAUUUUCCAAGAUUACACACACACAUCACUGUUCGCUGUUAGCACUGCUGCUAACGCUAACUCACCCUCUUGUCAGUUGACAGGGAAAUUAUGAGCCAACGCAUAAUUGCCGAUGAUGUAUUUUAACUGAAUAUCGAUCGUCAGUCAAACUUUAUUUUACGAGGGUUAAACUGUGUAAUUAAUGAACCGGG
ensembl:lncRNA